AUUGAACGCUGGCGGCAUGCUUUACACAUGCAAGUCGAGCGGCAGCGCGGGGGCAACCCUGGCGGCGAGCGGCGAACGGGUGAGUAAUGCAUCGGAACGUAUCCUCGAGUGGGGGAUAACCCAGCGAAAGUUGGGCUAAUACCGCAUGAGCUCUGAGGAGGAAAGCGGGGGACCUGCGGGGGCCUCGCGCUGGAGGAGCGGCCGAUGUCCGAUUAGCUAGUUGGUGGGGUAAAGGCUUACCAAGGCGACGAUCGGUAGCUGGUCUGAGAGGAUGAUCAGCCACACUGGGACUGAGACACGGCCCAGACUCCUACGGGAGGCAGCAGUGGGGAAUUUUGGACAAUGGGGGCAACCCUGAUCCAGCCAUGCCGCGUGAGUGAAGAAGGCCUUCGGGUUGUAAAGCUCUUUCGGACGGAACGAAAUGGGCGGGACUAAUACGCCUGUCUGAUGACGGUACCGGAAGAAGAAGCACCGGCUAACUACGUG
rnacentral:rRNA from 1 species